rnacentral:rRNA from 1 species
AGAUUAAGUUAUUAAGGGCGCACGGUGGAUGCCUUGGCACUAGAAGCCGAUGAAGGACGUUACUAACGACGAUAUGCUUUGGGGAGCUGUAAGUAAGCUUUGAUCCAGAGAUUUCCGAAUGGGGAAACCCAGCAUGAGUUAUGUCAUGUUAUCGAUAUGUGAAUACAUAGCAUAUCAGAAGGCACACCCGGAGAACUGAAACAUCUUAGUACCCGGAGGAAGAGAAAGAAAAUUCGAUUCCCUUAGUAGCGGCGAGCGAAACGGGAAGAGCCCAAACCAACAAGCUUGCUUGUUGGGGUUGUAGGACACUCUAUACGGAGUUACAAAGGACGACAUUAGACGAAUCAUCUGGAAAGAUGAAUCAAAGAAGGUAAUAAUCCUGUAGUCGAAAAUGUUGUCUCUCUUGAGUGGAUCCUGAGUACGACGGAGCACGUGAAAUUCCGUCGGAAUCUGGGAGGACCAUCUCCUAAGGCUAAAUACUCUCUAGUGACCGAUAGUGAACCAGUACCGUGAGGGAAAGGUGAAAAGCACCCCGGAAGGGGAGUGAAAUAGAACCUGAAACCGUGUGCUUACAAGUAGUCAGAGCCCGUUAAUGGGUGAUGGCGUGCCUUUUGUAGAAUGAACCGGCGAGUUACGAUUUGAUGCAAGGUUAAGCAGUAAAUGUGGAGCCGUAGCGAAAGCGAGUCUGAAUAGGGCGUUUAGUAUUUGGUCGUAGACCCGAAACCAGGUGAUCUACCCUUGGUCAGGUUGAAGUUCAGGUAACACUGAAUGGAGGACCGAACCGACUUACGUUGAAAAGUGAGCGGAUGAACUGAGGGUAGCGGAGAAAUUCCAAUCGAACCUGGAGAUAGCUGGUUCUCUCCGAAAUAGCUUUAGGGCUAGCCUCAAGUGAUGAUUAUUGGAGGUAGAGCACUGUUUGGACGAGGGGCCCCUCUCGGGUUACCGAAUUCAGACAAACUCCGAAUGCCAAUUAAUUUAACUUGGGAGUCAGAACAUGGGUGAUAAGGUCCGUGUUCGAAAGGGAAACAGCCCAGACCACCAGCUAAGGUCCCAAAAUAUAUGUUAAGUGGAAAAGGAUGUGGCGUUGCCCAGACAACUAGGAUGUUGGCUUAGAAGCAGCCAUCAUUUAAAGAGUGCGUAAUAGCUCACUAGUCGAGUGACACUGCGCCGAAAAUGUACCGGGGCUAAACAUAUUACCGAAGCUGUGGAUUGUCCUUUGGACAAUGGUAGGAGAGCGUUCUAAGGGCGUUGAAGCAUGAUCGUAAGGACAUGUGGAGCGCUUAGAAGUGAGAAUGCCGGUGUGAGUAGCGAAAGACGGGUGAGAAUCCCGUCCACCGAUUGACUAAGGUUUCCAGAGGAAGGCUCGUCCGCUCUGGGUUAGUCGGGUCCUAAGCUGAGGCCGACAGGCGUAGGCGAUGGAUAACAGGUUGAUAUUCCUGUACCACCUAUAAUCGUUUUAAUCGAUGGGGGGACGCAGUAGGAUAGGCGAAGCGUGCGAUUGGAUUGCACGUCUAAGCAGUAAGGCUGAGUAUUAGGCAAAUCCGGUACUCGUUAAGGCUGAGCUGUGAUGGGGAGAAGACAUUGUGUCUUCGAGUCGUUGAUUUCACACUGCCGAGAAAAGCCUCUAGAUAGAAAAUAGGUGCCCGUACCGCAAACCGACACAGGUAGUCAAGAUGAGAAUUCUAAGGUGAGCGAGCGAACUCUCGUUAAGGAACUCGGCAAAAUGACCCCGUAACUUCGGGAGAAGGGGUGCUCUUUAGGGUUAACGCCCAGAAGAGCCGCAGUGAAUAGGCCCAAGCGACUGUUUAUCAAAAACACAGGUCUCUGCUAAACCGUAAGGUGAUGUAUAGGGGCUGACGC